GAUGAAUGCUGGCGGCGUGCCUAAUACAUGCAAGUCGAGCGAACGGACGAGAAGCUUGCUUUUCUGAUGUUAGCGGCGGACGGGUGAGUAACACGUGGAUAACCUACCUAUAAGACUGGGAUAACUUCGGGAAACCGGAGCUAAUACCGGAUAAUAUUUUGAACCGCAUGGUUCAAAAGUGAAAGACGGUCUUGCUGUCACUUAUAGAUGGAUCCGCGCUGCAUUAGCUAGUUGGUAAGGUAACGGCUUACCAAGGCAACGAUGCAUAGCCGACCUGAGAGGGUGAUCGGCCACACUGGAACUGAGACACGGUCCAGACUCCUACGGGAGGCAGCAGUAGGGAAUCUUCCGCAAUGGGCGAAAGCCUGACGGAGCAACGCCGCGUGAGUGAUGAAGGUCUUCGGAUCGUAAAACUCUGUUAUUAGGGAAGAACAUAUGUGUAAGUAACUGUGCACAUCUUGACGGUACCUAAUCAGAAAGCCACGGCUAACUACGUG
rnacentral:rRNA from 1 species